ACUUUGACCCUUCCAGUUAUCUCAGUAAUUGGUGUUUUGUUGUUGUUUUCCGGUAGAGGUCGGAGAUAAUAUAGAAGACGAAAAAUGGUUGAAAUAGUCGCCAGAGGAGGAGGAAAACUGUUUUUUUUUUUUUUUUUAGAGAAACUUUAAAAUAGAAAAGUAAAACCUGACACUUUUUCUUAGCUUGUCUUUUCCAUCUUCAAUUUCUUAACAUUUGUUUCAUUAUUAUUUAUAUAUACUCUAAUUUAUAACAUUUCUUUGCAAUAAGGGUUGUAAGUUAUGUUUAUUGGCUUGUAUGUGCUAUGUGUUGUUGUAUGGUACAACCUUAUUUGAUUUUAUGGUCUACGUGUUUUGUUCUGCUUUAGCUAUUGUACACUUUUUCUUCAUCAUUUCUUUCUCUCUUUUCACUCUCAAUGAAACCCUCAAUCUCUCUCUCUAUUGUCCUCCUUUCUCUCUCAUCGCCAUUAUGUUGUCUUACAUUUUCGCUAUGAAUAUAAUGUAUACGAACCCCAAGGAGGCAAUCGAUUCGCCUUUUAAUUUAAUCUCAGUGUGUUGCAAAACCAAUGAAUCGAGUGUAGGAUAACAUGGAGUAGGGGGUGGAGCUCAACAUCGUACGAUUGUCACCGUGAAUUUGGUUUGUAAUUUGUUAAGAUCUGACUGCUGGUUUCUUUUUCUUUUAUGAGUUGUUUCUUUUUUGUUGAUUUUGAGUAUUUUGUGGUUAUUGUGGAGCAAUGCCUAUACUGCUUGAUCGAUUCGCCAGGCCUUGUAAGUGUAUGCCUUUUUAAUUACUUUGUUGAAUUGUGAAUUGUUGUUAUGUUGAUGUGAAUUGUGUGUGGUUUAAUUGGAUUUGUGUUGGGUUAUUUGGUUAAAAAUUAGAGUUUUGCUUUUUUUGGUGUUUAACUAUUUGGAAAGGUAUGAUAUUAUUCAAGAGAAACUAUAAAUUACUUCAUACUUGUCUGUGAGUGCUUGGUUGGUGUUUAACUAAUAGAUAGAUAAAUGAUGAAUUUUGACAUCUUUUAGAGAGUUAUAGAUCAGGAGAUUAUUUGAAUUUGUAUGGGUUAGGGUUUUUGAAACUAUAGAAAAGGUUACUUUCAAGGGCCACCAUUAGACCACCCGUAAUGGAACCCCUUGCCGGCGUGAUCCCCCCCAAAAGACGCCCAAAAACUCCGCCCUGGCCGGCGUGAUCCGGCAAAAUCCCCCGCAGGCGUUUUUUGAAACACGCUUGGAUCAAGUUGCUUUGGCCAAUCAAAGCUUAUCUUCCUUUUUCAUUUAUUUAAUCUUCCAAUAGUUUUUUUUUUUUGGUUUUUUUAUUUUUAUUUAAUUCUUUACACCCAUUUAUCAUAAUGCCCACAUCCUCACUACACCCAUUUUAGAAAAACACCCAAUAAUGCCCCUUGCUGACUGGGUUGCCACAUGGCGCAAAACGCCCAAGGGUGGAUCUUGCCCACUACACAUGGUCUUAGAGUGGUUAUAGCUGGAAUAUGCCAUCAAUGUUGAUGAAGCGACAUUCAGCGGUUCAAGAUAUCCGCGAUAAAAUCUCAGGUGCGUUAGAAGCAUUUUCUAGAAGAAAUUUGUCAGGGGUGCCCGACAAAGUUCGUGAAACAAGAUUUCUGAUCAUGUACCAUCCUCAAAAGAUGUGGAGAUGCGAUCCAAGAACUUGCAAGAAAGAAUGAUAGAAACUAUAUUCAAGUAGCAGUUUUGCCAUAUUAUCAAAUUGACGCCUAUGUUUGCACCGCUACCAUACCAGGAAUAGGGUUCUGGCGACCCUUCAGUUUUCCGAUGAAGUUUUGGUCAAGCUUUGUUCUUCGGCGAGGUUUCUGCCCAGGAUAACACCGGCGUGGUGGUUUUGACUGAUACAUUACUGAUCUCGAGCAUGUUGUUUUCCUCAUGAAACAUGCCUGUUUGUUUUUGUAAUUCAACUUGAUUGAUGUUUUUUAAUUUUUGAAAUGUCAAAGGUUUGACAUGGUUAAUGUUUAAUGCUAUCCAACAUUGGGCUUCCAUUGCGCUUUAAUUUGUAAGCCCCGGCCGUAACGCGGCGGAGGGUUCCACCUAGUUUGUUUAUAUUUAUAAACAUAGGGUUAUUUUGUUA